CCCGGCCGCCGGCUUCCUUUUGCUCUUUCCGGGCGGCGAUGAGCGCGCAGGACCCGCGCGGAGGCUGCGGGCGCACAGGAGCCCGCGCUCCUAGCCACCUCUCAGGCCUCGGGAAGGAAGCCGGAGUGAGAUUGCGUUCUGCCCCGGACCGCCCAGGAAACCUCUGGAUUUGCCUGUCUGGACUUUGGAGGGUGAAUGGAACCACGGACUCAGUGCCUUCUGCAUGUGGCCACUGUGCUGAGCAUAAGAUCCCAAGCUCUCCAGCCCUCUGGACUCUGCAGCAGACUGAAAAGAAUCUCCUGUUCUUUCUUGCCAACUGCUAAGCCCUUUAAAGGGGCAUGGUCUAGCCACUCACUGCACCGCCCCAGCCCGGAGCCUCUGACCCUCGCCGUGUCUGGUUCUCCGCCGGCAGCAGGUAGGUGGACUUCGGCGAUGGGCCUGCCAGCCGGGGAGGAGCGGAGGGGUGGCUUCCGCCCCAUGGUGGGUCUUUGGUCCAGCUCUGCAGAAAGAGCAGGGGACGCUACGGUGAGCACCAGGCUACCCAGCACGCCUGGGGCACAGGUCGGGAAACUGAGGCUUGGAGCUGGCCCUGGAUGGGUCGGUUCUGGGUCUUUCUGGGUGGAUUGUGCGAUUCGUGGAGCCUCUGCCUGGGGACCUGUUAGCGUCACACUACCUUAGUUUCAGUGGUGGUGGGCGGAGGGGCACAGGCAGGGGCAAGUGCCAGGCUCCUGCUGCAGGCCCAGCUGCUUUCCUGCAGGGCGCCUCUGCGACC
rnacentral:lncRNA from 1 species